rnacentral:rRNA from 1 species
UACAGAGGGGGCAAGCGUUAUUCGGAAUUAUUGGGCGUAAAGGGCGCGUAGGCGGCUUGGCAAGUGGAUGGUGAAAUCCCUCGGCUUAACCGAGGAACUGCCGUCCAAACUGCUUCGCUUGAGACCGGGAGAGGUGAGUGGAAUUCCCAGUGUAGCGGUGAAAUGCGUAGAUAUUGGGAGGAACACCAGUGGCGAAGGCGGCUCACUGGACCGGUACUGACGCUGAUGCGUGAAAGCGUGGGGAGCAAACGGG